AGGAGUUGCUGCCGCAUUUUCCCUUCCUAACACUGUCUAAGGCAGUGCAGUCAUGUGAGUUGUAGCUGGAAGCAACCUGCCUUACCAGUCCCCCAGGAAUGGCUUCCUUCAAAAUCCGGUAUUGCUGACUCAUGCUGGGCUUGCAAUCACUGGGCCGAUGAGUAGGCAAGAAAGCACUUUGUCACUCUCUGGAGGAGAAGAACUGAGAGCUGCCCUUGGAAAGGAGCCUGCACAGCAACCUGGGUCACUGAACAUGCCACAUGCCGAAGGAAUUACCACUGUUCAGUGGGAGUCUUUAAUAAGCUGGAUUCUGAGGGACUUUACUUCUUUUGUAUACCUCCCACCCAGCUGGAUACCCAUGUGUUGGGUGCACUGCAAAGAAGAGGAGGGAUAAUGACAGUGGCCAGUGUUUCUCCCACAGGUUUCACCAAUUCAAUACAAGGAGAACCAGUGUAACAAAGAGAACACUCAUCUACUUGGAGGUGGGCAAACUCCCAAGGAGGGAAGAGUUCUGUGUCUUUAAAAAUUUGUCUCCGCAUUUUAUCAUCAUAUACUUCCACCAACAGAAUUCCUCUGCAAGCAGUAGAGAGAGGAGAUACAGUGCAUAGUUGGGGCAAAGAGACACCACUUUUCAGAUUUAGCAUCACUUUUGGAUAAUUUGCUCGUUGUUUCUGAGAAAUUUUCUUAAAAUACAUAUAAAAUUCAUUGACCAUGAAUUGUGAUAAGAUCAGUACCCGGAUAGGAAAACUGUUCUCAUGACUAGCAACUAAUACUAAGAGGGAAGAAAACAAUCAUGUAGACAUGAAACUGUCUCCCGUGUAGAAGAGUUCACAACAUUAUCCUUCUGUAUGUUUUGAUAACUCUGUUGAGUCUGUACUGCAUUAUGAAAGCAUUUUCUAUCUUGUACACAUAUAAGAGGACUUCAGGUAAAAUCCUAAAAAUUUUGUCAUCCAAACUGUGUGAUGGCAGCUUAAAAUCACAUUAAAUGGCCUGCUGGCCUCGUGAUUAAGCACAGGUGUUUGGCUGUGGUUUAUUCAUCUGCAGUCAUAUUUUCCCAGGGUGAUUUGUGGGGGAAGGGAAGGAGAUUUUCUAGUCAUACUUUCUCCUCAUCUACUUUAAUCUCCAUUACCUUAGUGGAAUUAGUGAUUUGAUGUUCAAUGUUUAAAAUCCAAUUGUUAGCAAUUUAAAAUAAUAUAUCCAUUAAUUAAAGAUACUUCAAAAUAUGCCAGUGAUUUGUUUCUUUAAACAAUAACUGAAGAUAGUAUCUAUACAAUCCUAGAAAACUUAAAUUGGAAAUUAUCGCCUAAUGGAAAUUUUUCACCUUGAUCUUCUAUGGGGAGAGUGCGGACUUUAUCAGAAUGUCUGAGGGAAGGAACUGGGAUCCAGUUCUCUCCUCCCUGUUAGUACUUCCAUUUCCCCGGGAUUGGUGUGAUUUAAAAGCAGAAAAGGAAGGAGAGACUGUCCUUGCAAGUCUUCAAGGAUAACAAAAGUCCUAUCCUUAUUCAGUCUAAGAGGAGUUUGAGGCCCUAGGAGCCAUAAAACUAAUAAAUCCUGAA
rnacentral:lncRNA from 9 species